GGGAUUGCCCUAGUAACGGCGAGUGAAGCGGCAACAGCUCAAAUUUGAAAUCUGGCCCUCGCGGUCCGAGUUGUAAUUUGCAGAGGAUGCUUUAGGUGCGGUGCCUUCCGAGUUCCCUGGAACGGGACGCCAGAGAGGGUGAGAGCCCCGUACGGUUGGACGCCUACCCUGUAUACAGCUCCUUCGACGAGUCGAGUAGUUUGGGAAUGCUGCUCUAAAUGGGAGGUAAAUUUCUUCUAAAGCUAAAUACCGGCCAGAGACCGAUAGCGCACAAGUAGAGUGAUCGAAAGAUGAAAAGCACUUUGAAAAGAGGGUUAAAUAGUACGUGAAAUUGUUGAAAGGGAAGCGUUUGCGACCAGACCUUCUCCUGGCGGAUCAUCCGGCGUUCUCGCCGGUGCACUUCGCCUGGGGUAGGCCAGCAUCGGUUUCCUUAGGGGGAUAAAGGCUCUGGGAACGUGGCUCCUUCGGGAGUGUUAUAGCCCUCAGCGUAAUACCUUUAGGGGGACCGAGGACCGCGCUUUUGCAAGGAUGCUGGCAUAAUGGUCGUCAACGACCCGUCUUGAAACACGGACCAAGGAGUCGAACAUUUGUGCGAGUGUUUGGGUAUCAAACCCUCACGCGUAAUGAAAGUGAACGGAGGCGAGAGCCCUAGGGCGCAUCGUCGACCGAUCCUGAUGUCUUCGGAUGGAUUUGAGUAAGAGCAUAACUGUUCGGACCCGAAAGAUGGUGAACUAUGCGUGGAUAGGGUGAAGCCAGAGGAAACUCUGGUGGAGGCUCGCAGCGGUUCUGACGUGCAAAUCGAUCGUCAAAUCUGCGCAUGGGGGCGAAAGACUUAUCGAACCAUUAAACACCAGCGGUAAAUCGAAUUUACUAGGUGGUUAAGAGGCCCCCCGCGAGGGGCGAGGCCUAGGCGGGUCGGGUCGGCUUACCCGGUAGCUACCCUGUAGCUAUCCUGUAAGGAGCUACCCUGGAGCUACCCUGCACCUACCUACCCGGUAGGAGGGGUUGCUCCUGGGUGGUCGACCGACCCCCCGCCGACACCGCUAAAUUGCGGGGACGUCCUACUGAAGGCCACGGGCUACCGCCGGGCGCUGAAAAGCGUGCUGCCGGCACCGAGAAUAGCGCUCUCGGGUAUGGUAACAACGCCCGUGGUAACGGAUGACCUGCAGCCAACCCCGCCAACGUACAGCGUACCAGGGGAGAGUUCACUGACUAGACAGCGGUGGGUCUGCGCAGUAUGCCCUGCGCAGGCCUAAGACAUAGUCGAUCCGGGCCCUGAAAAGG
rnacentral:rRNA from 1 species